rnacentral:tRNA from 1 species
UGCUUAGCUCAGUUGGGAGAGCGUCGCCCUUACAAGGCGAAGGUCGUAGGUUCGAACCCUACAGCA